AUUGAACGCUGGCGGCGUGCCUUACACAUGCAAGUCGAACGGCAGCACGGACUUCGGUCUGGUGGCGAGUGGCGAACGGGUGAGUAAUAUAUCGGAACAUGCCUUGUAGUGGGGGAUAACUAUCCGAAAGGAUAGCUAAUACCGCAUACGCUCUAUGGAGGAAAGCGGGGGAUCGUAAGACCUCGUGCUAUAAGAGUGGCCGAUAUCUGAUUAGCUAGUUGGUGAGGUAAAGGCUCACCAAGGCGACGAUCAGUAGCUGGUCUGAGAGGACGACCAGCCACACUGGAACUGAGACACGGUCCAGACUCCGACGGGAGGCAGCAGUGGGGAAUUUUGGACAAUGGGGGCAACCCUGAUCCAGCAAUGCCGCGUGAGUGAAGAAGGCCUUCGGGUUGUAAAGCUCUUUUGUCAGGGAAGAAACGGUUGUGGCUAAUAUCCAUGGCUAAUGACGGUACCUGAAGAAUAAGCACCGGCUAACUACGUGCCAGCAGCCGCGGUAACAC
rnacentral:rRNA from 1 species